UACGGGGGGAGCAAGCGUUGUUCGGAUUUACUGGGCGUAAAGGGCGCGUAGGCGGUCAGCACAAGUCAGUUGUGAAAUCUCCGGGCUUAACUCGGAAAGGUCAACUGAUACUGUGCGACUAGAGUGCAGAAGGGGCAACUGGAAUUCUCGGUGUAGCGGUGAAAUGCGUAGAUAUCGAGAGGAACACCUGCGGCGAAGGCGGGUUGCUGGGCUGACACAGACGCUGAUGCGCGAAAGCCGGGGGAGCGAACGGG
rnacentral:rRNA from 1 species